rnacentral:rRNA from 1 species
GACGAACGCUGGCGGCGUGCUUAACACAUGCAAGUCGAACGGAAAGGCCUGCUUUCCCUUGUGGAUUGCGGGUACUCGAGUGGCGAACGGGUGAGUAACACGUGAGUGAUCUGCCCCCAACUUGGGUAUAAGCCUGGGAAACUGGGUCUAAUUCCCGAUAGGACUGCAGGGUGGUGCCUGUGGUGGAAAACGAUUUUCUAGUGGUUGGGGAUGAGCUCGCGGCCUAUCAGCUUGUUGGUGGGGUAAUGGCCUACCAAGGCGGCGACGGGUAGCCGGCCUGAGAGGGUGGACGGCCACAUUGGGACUGAGAUACGGCCCAGACGCCUACGGCAGGCAGCAGUGGGGAAUAUUGCACGAUGGGCGGAAGCCUGCUGCGGCGACGCCGCGUGGGGGAUGACGGCCUUCGGGUUGUAAACUCCUUUCGACCGCGAGGAAGCCACCUGGUUGGAAGGGUGGUGACGGUAGUGGUAGAAGAAGCACCGGCUAACUACGUG